ACCAAGGCGAUGAUGCAUAGCCGAGUUGAGAGACUGAUCGGCCACAAUGGAACUGAGACACGGUCCAUACUCCUACGGGAGGCAGCAGUAGGGAAUCUUCCACAAUGGGCGCAAGCCUGAUGGAGCAACACCGCGUGAGUGAAGAAGGGUUUCGGCUCGUAAAGCUCUGUUGUUGGAGAAGAACGUGCGUGAGAGUAACUGUUCACGCAGUGACGGUAUCCAACCAGAAAGUCACGGCUAACUACGUGCCAGCAGCCGCGGUAAUACGUAGGUGGCAAGCGUUAUCCGGAUUUAUUGGGCGUAAAGCGAGCGCAGGCGGUUGCUUAGGUCUGAUGUGAAAGCCUUCGGCUUAACCGAAGAAGUGCAUCGGAAACCGGGCGACUUGAGUGCAGAAGAGGACAGUGGAACUCCAUGUGUAGCGGUGGAAUGCGUAGAUAUAUGGAAGAACACCAGUGGCGAAGGCGGCUGUCUGGUCUGCAACUGACGCUGAGGCUCGAAAGCAUGGGUAGCGAACAGGAUUAGAUACCCUGGUAGUCCAUGCCGUAAACGAUGAGUGCUAGGUGUUGGAGGGUUUCCG
rnacentral:rRNA from 1 species